rnacentral:misc_RNA from 1 species
GGAGAGGGAGGAAAAAAAAAAAAAGAAAAGGAGUCUGAAAGUAAUUUUCUUUAUGUUGGUUGUAUAUCUUAUUAAUAAAGGAGGAAGUUAAAUUUAAUUUUAUUGUUAUAUCCUUAUUAAAUAGUUUUUGUUUAUAUUUGUAAAUUAACAUUCCACUUUAUUCAGUCUUUCCAUUUCCAUUGAUUUCCUUCCAAAAUAAAAGGAAAUGGAAUAUUUUCCUUCUCUUCAAUCCUCUUUUUAAUACCCAAACAAAUGAAGGAAAUUUCAAUUUAGUACUGCCCCAUACCCAAUUAUCCUCACUUCCCUCAAAGCGAACAAAAACAUUAGAAAGAGAGAAAUGAAAGAUAACUGGAUAUACUAGUUGAUAAAUGAUCAUUGGCCAAAUCAUGAAUCUUGAGUUCUGGCAAUUUAUAUUUAAGCUUAUUGAACUUGUAUUAGUUAAGCAUAGUCUGAACUUUUUUUUGUUAACCAUCUAAUUGAUUUCAAGAGUUCUCCUAGAAUGAGUAUUUGUUACCAAAGUCACAAGAUGUUCAUGAUGGCUUUAAUGCCUACCAUUUAUUUUUGAAAUAUUCUCCUAUUGGCUUCUUGGAAAAUGAAAUUUGUGAACUGAUUGAAACAUGAGGUGGUGAUCUUUUAGAAACAAUUUAUGUUUACAAGAAAUUGUUUAAAGCAUGAAAAAAUUAUGUUUUUGAAGGAAUGGUGUGAAGCUCUGAUUUGAAAUAUGAUUGCUCUAUUGCUUAGGCUCAAUACAUCAUGAAUAGGUAUCAGUAAAAAGUAUGCAUCCAAUGCAGCAAAGGAAACUUGGUCCUGGCAGGUCCUGCCAAGAUCAUAAUGACAGUGAAAUGCAUUGUUCUUCAACUUAGAUGUCUUCUUUUCAUGACCAAAUUCGGGUUUAAGAGGGACAUCUUACUUCAAAUGAGAGAUUAGAUUGGCCUUAAAGAAGAAAAAUAGAUUGGUUUUACUUGACUUGAGAUGUGUGACCUUCAGUCUAUCUUUGGGCAUUUUUCUUGACUUGUUCAGCCCAGAUAGAUAUUGAAUUGACAAGAAGCAUCUUUUGUAGGCUAUCUAAUCUGUAUUUUCUAAUUUAGCAUGCUUUACCUGACUUACUAAGAGUAGAAGCAUUCCAUAACUGUUUCUGACACGGAAAUUGGAUCUGAGCAUCCUAACUUUUAAUUUUACUCAAUUGUUUGUGCACAUCAUAUUACUCACAGAGACUUGUAACAUGAUAUCAUUGUGUCCAUUUUGAAAUUCAUAUGCCUAUAUUUGUAUUUAUCAGG